rnacentral:rRNA from 1 species
GAUGAACGCUAGCGAUAGGCUUAACACAUGCAAGUCGAGGGGCAGCAUGGUCUUAGCUUGCUAAGGCUGAUGGCGACCGGCGCACGGGCGCGUAACGCGUAUGCAACUUGCCUCACAGAGGGGGAUAACCCGUCGAAAGACGGACUAAUACCGCGUACACUCUAUGUUGGGCAUCCAAUGUAGAGGAAAUGAAAUUCGCUGUGAGAUAGGCAUGCGUCCCAUUAGCUAGUUGGUGAGGUAACGGCUCACCAAGGCGACGAUGGGUAGGGGAACUGAGAGGUUGAACCCCCACACUGGUACUGCGACACGGACCAGACUCCUACGGGAGGCAGCAGUGAGGAAUAUUGGUCAAUGGGCGAGAGCCUGAACCAGCCAAGUCGCGUGAAGGAUGACUGUCUUAUGGAUUGUAAACUUCUUUUAUACGGGAAUAACAAGAGUCACGUGUGGCUCCCUGCAUGUACCGGAUGAAUAAGCAUCGGCUAACUCCGUG